rnacentral:snoRNA from 1 species
CUCAUCUAUUUGACAUACCUGGAGCAGCUAAUGUCUGCUGCUGAAGUUUCCACUACUGAUGCAAGAAAAAAAGCGUCCUUCCACUUUCUAUCCGAUUGUAGCAGUCAAGAUUGCAUGAAGAAAUACAGGA